UGUUCAUCCGCAGCCUUAAGGCGUUCAGGCAGAGGGAAGGAGGACGGCGGAGACGGGGGACAUGCGGCGGCUCCGGGAGACGUCUCUGCGCGGACAAAGCUGAUCGAGGCGGAAAAUGAAGUAACCCGAGGAAGAGGAGGAGGAGGAAGAGUUGGAUAGAAGUUGGCGAUGGCGGCUGCACCUCUGACAGCUCUGCUGCUGCUCAGCCUGGACGUCCUUUCGGCUCACCAGUCCAAACCAGGCCUGAUGAAGCAGCAGAAUGACACAAACCUCCCCAGAGAGAAGAAGAAGAAUCCACCACACAUCGUAUUCAUUCUGAUCGAUGACCAGGGCUUCAACGACAUCGGCUACCACAACCCAACCAUCAAGACCCCAACACUGGACAAACUGGCAGCAGAGGGAGUGAAACUGGAAAAUUACUACGUUCAGCCGAUCUGCACGCCGUCCCGCAGUCAGCUCCUCACUGGAAGGUAUCAGAUCCACACGGGACUGCAGCACUCCAUCAUCAGAUCCAGACAGCCCAGCUGUUUGCCCAGACACAUGGACACUCUGCCGGAGACGCUGCGCCGGGCCGGCUACAGCACUCACAUGGUUGGCAAAUGGCACCUGGGCUUCUACAGAAAAUCCUGUCUGCCGACCAGAAAAGGCUUUGACACAUUCUUUGGUUCCUUAACAGGAAGUGUGGAUUAUUACAGUUAUGGGUCUUGCAAUGGUCCUGGGGUGUGUGGGUACGAUCUCCAUGACAACGAGAGAGUGGCCUGGGGCCAUGAAGGGAAGUACUCCACCACUUUGUUCACACAAAGAGCUCACAAGAUCCUGAAGAGUCACGACCCCGCCGACAGGCCGCUCUUCCUGCUGCUCUCCCUACAGGCAGUCCACGGCCCUCUCCAGCCCCCCAAGUCUUUUGUCUACCUGUACCGGGAUAUGGCUAAUGUCGACAGGAGGAAGUUCGCCGCCAUGGUGUCCACGGUGGACGAGGCGGUGCGAAACGUCACCUAUGCCCUCAGAAAAUAUGGUUACUACAAAAACAGCGUGAUCAUCUACUCCACAGACAACGGUGCACAGCCGUAUGUGGGCGGGAGCAACUGGCCGCUACGAGGUCGCAAGGGAACGUACUGGGAGGGUGGAGUCCGCGGAGUGGCGUUUGUGCACAGCCCGCUGCUGAAGCACAGGAGGCGAGUCUCCACCGCUCUUCUCCACAUCACCGACUGGUUUCCAACGCUGGUGGGACUGGCGGGGGGAAACAUAAGCCAGAGUCCAGGGCUGGACGGCUUCGACGUUUGGCCCACCAUCAGCGAGGGGAAGGAGUCGCCCCGCAAGGAGAUCCUGCACAACAUCAACCCUCUUCACAGAGCCCCCUCUAAGCGGGGCAUAUGUAACCACGUCAAAGCCAAGACCGCUGCAGCUCCCAAGGGAAAAAGACCAAAGUUUAAGAAGCCCAAGAAGAAAGUUCUGAAGCAGACUCUAAAUCAAAAAUCUACUUUCAGAGUAAAAAACUUCAAGAGGAAGCAGGUUCUGAAGCAGAAACUAAAUCAGAAAUCUGCACCUAGGUUACAAAGCACAAAGAAACCUCAGACAUUUGCGUCUGAUCCCAAAAGCAAGUCCCAGAAGCUCUUUCAGAAAUCCAACCCUGCUCCCAAACUUGACACCAAAGCCCGGAGACCAAAACCCAGGUCUCUCUCAGAACCACAGUCCAGUGGGGGUCGUCCUGAAUCCGAAAUGUCCAGGUCCAAACCUCUUCUUCGGCGACCUCCCAAGACCAAAUCCAAGUGGACAACCACCCAAGAACAGAACCUGUCUCUGCCAGGACAACCUUCAAGAUCCAAAACUCACCUCAAACAAACGUUGGGGUCUCCUCAGCCUGUACGGUACCAGAACAUGUCCCUGUCAAUAACGCCGGGGCCCAAACCCCGUCUGGCUUCACAGUCCAUGCUCCCAUCGGGUCUGUCUGCCGUGUGGGACACGUCAGUCCAAGCAGCCAUCAGAGUCGGUGACUGGAAACUGCUGACGGGAGAUCCAGGAGACGGUGACUGGGUGCCAGUCCAGAUGCUGUCCACUCCUCCGCGCCCCUGGUGGAACCUGGAGCGCACCUUGAUGUCCUCCAUCCACAAAGAUGUCUGGCUCUUCAACAUCACCGCCGACCCGUACGAGCGGCAGGACCUGUCGCAGCAGAGGCCAGACGUGGUCCUGCAGCUUCUGGGUCGCCUCGCCUUCUACAACCAAACGGCCGUCCCCGUCUACUUUCCCCCGGACGACCCCCAAGCCGACCCCGACCGCCACCAAGGAGCCUGGGUGCCCUGGGUGGACGAAGACGAUGAGGAGGGCAAAUACGAAGGAGUAUACAAGAAAGGCAAGGGCAGGAAGAACCCGUGCAAGCUGGAGUCCUUCUUCCUGAAACUGAACAUGGGGAUGAUGUCGAAGCGCAUCUGAGGAAGCUUUUCAUUCACCUCCAUCUGUUUUUUUGCUACCAAACCAACUUUUGUUGCUUUUUGGAAAGACAGUUUCCCCCACGUCUGCAUGUCCGAAUGGUUUGAGAGUUUUAGGCAGGAAAGGUUUCAUCUCUGAUCCUCUUUUGAUCUAUUUUCAAAGUGUUCCCAGUGGUCUUUUCAUUGUGAUUAUGCCUUUUUUAACCAACCUUUUAAAAAAACGGUGGUUUUCUAGGACAUAGUUUCUGCAGAGCGAAAAGACUUUAUGAGGAUUCCCCUCUCAGUUGUGGGCGGGGCCGCUGGCCGCUGUGCAGGUUUUGUCUGUUGAGGCCCAAAACUGUCCUAAAAAGUUGCAUAGUGACGUGUGAACAGGAGUUCUGAACGCAGAAGGCCAAACUGUGAGUUUCCAUGGACUUCAUUGGAAGUGGUUGCUUGAACGCGUGUUGCAGGGCGGUGUGAACGGACGGGAGCGGAGCAGUGAGCUCAUGGCCCCCCCAGUGUCACAACUGAGUCUUUUUCACUUCAUCUGCUCUGAUUCACAACGAUUUGAAGUAAGAAAUACCCAGAAAUUACAUUUUAGCCUAAUUUUCUUUAGCUAUGUUUUCCAUCAUCAGAGAAAUGGCAUAAAAAACAUUAAAACACCGUAUUAUUGGAGUUAAGCAUAAACCAUGAAGAUGCUGCCUUAUAAAUGUUGUGUUUCUCUUCACGUUUGUAACCUCUUCCACCUGAAUUGAAUCUGGGAUUUCGCGGUUUUCUUUGUGUUUUAGUGUUUUUGAAUGUUUAUUUGAUCCAGACUGACAGAGUGUCUGCCACUGUGACACUGACAGAUCUUUUUUUAAAAUCACUUUUGAAAAUCCAGCGAUUUUUAAGAGUCCGAGCUUCAAUUUGUCCACUUAAGUCUAGGUUUUCUUGCAGCCUUUCAUCCUUUUGUCCACCGUAACUUCCACAGAUAUGAGCUGAUUAGAUUUUUCCACAUCCUGUGAGGAAACACGUGUUGGCAAUAUGAAUGAACGGUUUAGUGUUUCUGUUUCAUGGCUGGAAAGAGCAGAAAAUCUUCCAGCUUUGUUUUUUUCUUAAAGUACACUCACUGUCAUGUAACAUAAAAUUGUUGUUGAUCAAAUGUGAUUCCUAUUUUCUGACAGUUACGAGAUAAAAACACGUAUAAUCAUCCAAUUCAGGAGAAUUAUGUGUUUAAUAAAAAUGACUUACAUUUAUCAUAUUUUUUAAAUAAAGAAUAAUCUUUAGAUAUUUUUUUUGUUCUUUCAGCUGUUUUGAUAAAAGUCACUUUGAGAAACGUUCAGAUGUUUGUUUGUUGGAAACCUUAUUAAAAAAUGGAUUUUUAAUUUUUCAGAUCUGUGAGGACACGACCUGAAUGACUGAACAUCUUCAGACAAAACG